CCUACGGGGGGCAGCAGUGAGGAAUAUUGGUCAAUGGUCGGGAGACUGAACCAGCCAAGCCGCGUGAGGGAGGAAGGUACUGAGGAUCGUAAACCUCUUUUGUCAGGGAACAAAGGCGGGUACGUAUCCCCGGAUGAGUGUACCUGAAGAAAAAGCAUCGGCUAAAUCCGUGCCAGCAGCCGCGGUAAUACGGAGGAUGCGAGCGUUAUCCGGAUUUAUUGGGGUUAAAGGGUGGGCAGGCGGUUUUGUAAGUUAGCGGUGAAAGCCCGGGGGCUAACCCCGGCCCCGCAUUUGAAACUGGCAGUCUCGAGUAGGAGAGAGGUAUGCGGAAUUCGCGGUGUAGCGGUGAAAUGCGUAGAUAUCGCGCAGAACUCCGAUUGCGAAGGCAGCAUGCCGGCUCCACACUGACGCUGAGGCACGAAAGCGUGGGUAUCGAACAGGAUUAGAUACCCCAGUAGUC
rnacentral:rRNA from 1 species